GACACUCAGUGAGCAGUAGGUGCCUGUGCAAGCUCGCGCCGCACAUUGCCUGGUGGAAGGAAGGAGCCCGGGCGCCGCUCGCCGCUCCCCGCGCCGCCGCCCGCACCUCCCCACCGCCCGCCGCCCGCCGCCUGCCGCCCGCAAAGCAUGAGUGAGCCCGCUCUCUGCAGCUGCCCGGGGCGCGAAUGGCAGGCUGUCUCCGCGGAGUAAAAGGUGGCGCCGGUCAGUGGUCGUUUCCAAUGACGGACAUUAACCAGACUGUCAAAUCCUGGGGAGUCGCGAGCCCCGAGUUUGGAGUUUUUUUCCCCCACAACGUCACAGUCCGAACUGCAGAGGGAAAGGAAGGCGGCAGGAAGGCGAAGCUCGGGCUCCGGCACGUAGUUGGGAAACUUGCGGGUCCUAGAAGUCGCCUCCCCGCCUCGCCGGCCGCCCUUGCAGCCCCGAGCCGAGCAGCAAAGUGAGACAUUGUGCGCCUGCCAGAUCCGCCGGCCGCGGACCGGGGCUGCCUCGGAAACACAGAGGGGUCUUCUCUCGCCCUGCAUAUAAUUAGCCUGCACACAAAGGGAGCAGCUGAAUGGAGGUUGUCACUCUCUGGAAAAGGAUUUCUGACCGAGCGCUUCCAAUGGACAUUCUCCAGUCUCUCUGGAAAGAUUCUCGCUAAUGGAUUUCCUGCUGCUCGGUCUCUGUCUAUACUGGCUGCUGAGGAGGCCCUCGGGGGUGGUCUUGUGUCUGCUGGGGGCCUGCUUUCAGAUGCUGCCCGCCGCCCCCAGCGGGUGCCCGCAGCUGUGCCGGUGCGAGGGGCGGCUGCUGUACUGCGAGGCGCUCAACCUCACCGAGGCGCCCCACAACCUGUCCGGCCUGCUGGGCUUGUCCCUGCGCUACAACAGCCUCUCGGAGCUGCGCGCCGGCCAGUUCACGGGGUUAAUGCAGCUCACGUGGCUCUAUCUGGAUCACAAUCACAUCUGCUCGGUGCAGGGGGACGCCUUUCAGAAACUGCGCCGAGUUAAGGAACUCACGCUGAGUUCCAACCAGAUCACCCAACUGCCCAACACCACCUUCCGGCCCAUGCCCAACCUGCGCAGCGUAGACCUCUCGUACAACAAGCUGCAGGCGCUCGCGCCCGACCUCUUCCACGGGCUGCGGAAGCUCACCACGCUGCAUAUGCGGGCCAACGCCAUCCAGUUUGUGCCCGUGCGCAUCUUCCAGGACUGCCGCAGCCUCAAGUUUCUCGACAUCGGAUACAAUCAGCUCAAGAGUCUGGCGCGCAACUCUUUCGCCGGCUUGUUUAAGCUCACCGAGCUGCACCUCGAGCACAACGACUUGGUGAAGGUGAACUUCGCCCACUUCCCGCGCCUCAUCUCCCUGCACUCGCUCUGCCUGCGGAGGAACAAGGUGGCCAUUGUGGUCAGCUCGCUUGACUGGGUUUGGAAUCUGGAGAAAAUGGACUUGUCGGGCAACGAGAUCGAGUACAUGGAGCCCCAUGUGUUCGAGACCGUGCCGCACCUGCAGUCCCUGCAGCUGGACUCCAACCGCCUCACCUACAUCGAGCCCCGGAUCCUCAACUCUUGGAAGUCCCUGACAAGCAUCACCCUGGCCGGGAACCUGUGGGACUGCGGGCGCAACGUGUGUGCCCUAGCCUCGUGGCUCAGCAACUUCCAGGGGCGCUACGAUGGCAACUUGCAGUGCGCCAGCCCGGAGUACGCACAGGGCGAGGACGUCCUGGACGCCGUGUACGCCUUCCACCUGUGCGAGGAUGGGGCCGAGCCCACCAGCGGCCACCUGCUCUCGGCCGUCACCAACCGCAGUGAUCUGGGGCCCCCUGCCAGCUCGGCCACCACGCUCGCGGACGGCGGGGAGGGGCAGCACGACGGCACAUUCGAGCCUGCCACCGUGGCUCUUCCAGGCGGCGAGCACGCCGAGAACGCCGUGCAGAUUCACAAGGUGGUCACGGGCACCAUGGCCCUCAUCUUCUCCUUCCUCAUCGUGGUCCUGGUGCUCUACGUGUCCUGGAAGUGUUUCCCAGCCAGCCUCAGGCAGCUCAGACAGUGCUUUGUCACGCAGCGCAGGAAGCAAAAGCAGAAACAGACCAUGCAUCAGAUGGCUGCCAUGUCUGCCCAGGAAUACUACGUUGAUUACAAACCGAACCACAUUGAGGGAGCCCUGGUGAUCAUCAACGAGUAUGGCUCGUGUACCUGCCACCAGCAGCCCGCGAGGGAAUGCGAGGUGUGAUUGUCCCAGUGGCUCUCAACCCAUGCGCUACCAAAUACGCCUGGGCAGCCGGGACGGGCCGGCGGGCACCAGGCUGGGGUCUCCUUGUCUGUGCUCUGAUAUGCUCCUUGACUGAAACUUUAAGGGGAUCUCUCCCAGAGACUUGACAUUUUAGCUUUAUUGUGUCUUAAAAACAAAAACGAAUUAAAACACAACAAAAAACCCACCCCACAAUCUUCAGGACAGUCUAUCUUAAAUUUCAUAUGAGAACUCCUUCCUCCCUUUGAAGAUCUGUCCAUAUUCAGGAAUCUGAGAGUGUAAAAAAGUUCUGUCAACAGAUUCAGUCCCCAGUCCUCCUUCUCUGAGCAGACCUCUCAUCCGCAGCAUAUACCUGCUAGAUCUUCUAAGAGCUUAAAUGGAGACUUCUGGAAGAAGGUGGGAAAGAAGUCCAUCUCGGCUUAAUUAACCAUUUAUCGCAUCAUAUUACUCCCAUCUUAAAAGUGCACGUGUUGUUUUUCUGAACCCUCACACAAAGGCUACUACUGUGGUCCCAUAUCUGUCGGCCCAUGAGAAAUAGUGUUCUUGGACCUCACAGCCAAGCAGCACUGAACUGCAGCAAAAUCCAGCAACACAUUCAGCAGCAAGCAGCCUGCUGAGCUCCACUGGUUUAUCCAGGGCCACCAACCCCAAAGAACUGGGAUGAAAGCAGAUGUGAGAGAGGAAAAGGAUCUGUUUUUGUUUUAUUUUCUACCAGGCCCAGCUCUUUGUGGGGGGAAUAAAAAAGAAGAAAAAUCGAGCUCCAAGCUGGUGCCCUGCCAAGCUUCCUCCCCUCCCUUCCUAGUCCAAGCACUCCACCGUCUGUGCAGACUGCAUAACAGCAAUUUCUGGAAACAGGCUGAAGAAUCUGGGCCAGUCCAGAGGCAGUGGAUUCCUGGUUUGUGUGUGGUGGGGUUUUUAGGAAUUUUGUUUUUCACCUUAAUUCUUUCAACAACUGCCAGCUGUUUGAAGCACAUUUGUAAUAAACAGCUUCUGUUUGUAAAAUGAGACUGAAGGUAUCCUCUCCAGAGAAAUUCCUGAAUCUUCUCCAGAGUUCAAUCCUUCACUGACAGUUUGGCUCAAAAAGUACGAGUGUGGUAAAUAUUAAAGAAUGUUAAUACAAAUGUAA